rnacentral:misc_RNA from 1 species
CAGAGUUAUCCAACUCCCAAACCCAUGUGAACUUAUCUCUCUGUUGCCUCGGCGCAAGCUACCCGGGACCUCGCGCCCCGGGCGGCCCGCCGGCGGACAAACCAAAACUCUUGUUAUCUUAGUUGAUUAUCUGAGUGUCUUAUUUAAUAAGUCA